rnacentral:rRNA from 1 species
UGAGACCUGAUGCCGAGCCGAUUGUGGUGAAGUGGAUGAUCCUAUGCUGUCGAGAAAAGCCUCUAGCGAGUUUCAUGGCGGCCCGUACCCUAAACCGACUCAGGUGGUCAGGUAGAGAAUACCGAGGCGUUCGGGUGAACUAUGGUUAAGGAACUCGGCAAAAUGCCCCCGUAACUUCGGGAGAAGGGGGGCCACACCUGGUGACGGAGUUUACCUCUUGAGCUGGGGGUGGCCGCAGAGACCAGCGAGAAGCGACUGUUUACUAAAAACACAGGUCCGUGCGAAGCCGUAAGGCGAUGUAUACGGACUGACGCCUGCCCGGUGCUGGAACGUUAAGGGGACCGGUUAGCUGCUCUUCGGGGUGGCGAAGCUGAGAACUUAAGCGCCAGUAAACGGCGGUGGUAACUAUAACCAUCCUAAGGUAGCGAAAUUCCUUGUCGGGUAAGUUCCGACCUGCACGAAUGGCGUAACGACUUCUCGACUGUCUCAACCAUAGGCCCGGUGAAAUUGCACUACGAGUAAAGAUGCUCGUUUCGCGCAGCAGGACGGAAAGACCCCGGGACCUUUACUAUAGUUUGAUAUUGGUGUUCGGUUCGGCUUGUGUAGGAUAGGUGGGAGACUGUGAAGCGGCCACGCCAGUGGUUGUGGAGUCGUCGUUGAAAUACCACUCUGGUCGUGCUGGAUGUCUAACCUGGGUCCGUGAUCCGGAUCAGGGACAGUGUCUGAUGGGUAGUUUAACUGGGGCGGUUGCCUCCUAAAGGGUAACGGAGGCGCCCAAAGGUUCCCUCAGCCUGGUUGGUAAUCAGGUGUUGAGUGUAAGUGCACAAGGGAGCUUGACUGUGAGACCGACGGGUCGAGCAGGGACGAAAGUCGGGACUAGUGAUCCGGCAGUGGCUUGUGGAAGCGCUGUCGCUCAACGGAUAAAAGGUACCCCGGGGAUAACAGGCUGAUCUUCCCCAAGAGUCCAUAUCGACGGGAUGGUUUGGCACCUCGAUGUCGGCUCGUCGCAUCCUGGGGCUGGAGUCGGUCCCAAGGGUUGGGCUGUUCGCCCAUUAAAGCGGUACGCGAGCUGGGUUUAGAACGUCGUGAGACAGUUCGGUCCCUAUCCGCUGUGCGCGUAGGAAUAUUGAGAAGGGCUGUCCCUAGUACGAGAGGACCGGGACGGACGAACCUCUGGUGUGCCAGUUGUUCUGCCAAGGGCAUGGCUGGUUGGCUACGUUCGGAAAGGAUAACCGCUGAAAGCAUCUAAGCGGGAAGCCUGCUUCGAGAUGAGUAUUCCCACCCUCUUGAGGGGUUAAGGCUCCCAGUAGACGACUGGGUUGAUAGGCCAGAUGUGGAAGCCCUGUGAGGGGUGGAGCUGACUGGUACUAAUAGGCCGAGGGCUUGUCCUCAGUUG